AGUUUGAUCCUGGCUCAGAAUCAACGCUGGCGGCGUGCCUCAGACAUGCAAGUCGAACGAGAACUUUCCUUCGGGAAGGGGACAGUGGCGCACGGGUGAGUAACACGUGGGUAAUUUACCUUUGGGUGGGGAACAACAGCCGGAAACGGCUGCUAAUACCGCAUAAUGCAGCGGCAUCGCAAGAUGACAGUUGUUAAAGCGGGGGAUCGCAAGACCUCGCGCCUGAAGAGAAGCCCGCGGCGGAUUAGCUAGUUGGUAGGGUAAUGGCCUACCAAGGCAACGAUCUGUAACCGGCCUGAGAGGGCGGUCGGUCACACUGACACUGACAUACGGGUCAGACUCCUACGGGAGGCAGCAGUCGGGAAUUUUGGGCAAUGGGCGAAAGCCUGACCCAGCAACGCCGCGUGAAGGAUGAAGCUUUUCGGAGUGUAAACUUCAUAAGAAUGGGAAGAAUAAGUGUGGGAUAAUACCCUUCACGAUGACGGUACCAUUUGUAAGCUCCGGCUAACUCCGUGCCAGCAGCCGCGGUAAUACGGGGGGAGCAAGCGUUGUUCGGAUUUACUGGGCGUAAAGGGCGCGUAGGCGGCGCGACAAGUCACUUGUGAAAUCUCUGGGCUCAACCCAGAACGGUCAAGUGAUACUGUCGUGCUAG
rnacentral:rRNA from 1 species